GAGAAACUCCAGUGGUGACCUCCCUGCCUUCAUGGAGAGGUCGCAGAAGUAAGAAAACCCCUUCAUGGCUAAUGAUCUCAAAGCACCUCUGGUGGAAAUACAUAACAAGUUCUCCAUGUUCCAGUCCUCGGAGGUAGAAUAGGCAUAAAAUACUUUCACUAAUAAAAUAUGACA